GAUGAACGCUGGCGGCGUGCCUAAUACAUGCAAGUCGAGCGAACAGACGAGGAGCUUGCUCCUCUGACGUUAGCGGCGGACGGGUGAGUAACACGUGGAUAACCUACCUAUAAGACUGGGAUAACUUCGGGAAACCGGAGCUAAUACCGGAUAAUAUAUUGAACCGCAUGGUUCAAUAGUGAAAGACGGUUUUGCUGUCACUUAUAGAUGGAUCCGCGCCGCAUUAGCUAGUUGGUAAGGUAACGGCUUACCAAGGCAACGAUGCGUAGCCGACCUGAGAGGGAGGUGGGCCACACGGAGAGGGAGACAGGGAAGAGACCCCAGGGGGGGGCAGAAGUGGGGACUCUCCGGAAAGGGGAGAAGGCCAGACGGGAAAGCCCGGGGGGAGGAAGAAGGGUAUAGGGAGAGAAAAACUGUUUAAUGGGAAAAAAAAAAAUGUGAAAGAACCUAGGCGCGUCUUGAGGGUCCAUAAUAAGAAGCCCAGGGCUAACUAGGUG
rnacentral:rRNA from 1 species